rnacentral:rRNA from 1 species
GACGAACGCUGGCGGCGUGCUUAACACAUGCAAGUCGAACGGAAAGGCCCUGCUUUUGUGGGGUGCUCGAGUGGCGAACGGGUGAGUAACACGUGAGUAGCCUGCCCUUGACUUUGGGAUAACUUCAGGAAACUGGGGCUAAUCCCGGAUAGGAGCUCCUGCUGCAUGGUGGGGGUUGGAAAGUUUCGGCGGUUGGGGAUGGACUCGCGGCUUAUCAGCUUGUUGGUGGGGUAGUGGCUUACCAAGGCUUUGACGGGUAGCCGGCCUGAGAGGGUGACCGGCCACAUUGGGACUGAGAUACGGCCCAGACUCCUACGGGAGGCAGCAGUGGGGAAUAUUGCACAAUGGGCGGAAGCCUGAUGCAGCAACGCCGCGUGCGGGAUGACGGCCUUCGGGUUGUAAACCGCUUUCGCCUGUGACGAAGCGUGAGUGACGGUAAUGGGUAAAGAAGCACCGGCUAACUACGUG